AGGAUGAACGCUAGCUACAGGCUUAACACAUGCAAGUCGAGGGGCAGCAUGGUCUUAGCUUGCUAAGGCCGAUGGCGACCGGCGCACGGGUGAGUAACACGUAUCCAACCUGCCGUCUACUCUUGGACAGCCUUCUGAAAGGAAGAUUAAUACAAGAUGGCAUCAUGAGUCCACAUGUUCACAUGAUUAAAGGUAUUCCGGUAGACGAUGGGGAUGCGCUCCAUUAGAUAGUAGGCGGGGUAACGGCCCACCUAGUCUUCGAUGGAUAGGGGUUCUGAGAGGAAGGUCCCCCACAUUGGAACUGAGACACGGUCCAAACUCCUACGGGAGGCAGCAGUGAGGAAUAUUGGUCAAUGGGCGAGAGCCUGAACCAGCCAAGUAGCGUGAAGGAUGACUGCCCUAUGGGUUGUAAACUUCUUUUAUAAAGGAAUAAAGUCGGGUAUGGAUACCCGUUUGCAUGUACUUUAUGAAUAAGGAUCGGCUAACUCCGUGCCAGCAGCCGCGGUAAUACGGAGGAUCCGAGCGUUAUCCGGAUUUAUUGGGUUUAAAGGGAGCGUAGAUGGAUGUUUAAGUCAGUUGUGAAAGUUUGCGGCUCAACCGUAAAAUUGCAGUUGAUACUGGAUAUCUUGAGUGCAGUUGAGGCAGGCGGAAUUCGUGGUGUAGCGGUGAAAUGCUUAGAUAUCACGAAGAACUCCGAUUGCGAAGGCAGCCUGCUAAGCUGCAACUGACAUUGAGGCUCGAAAGUGUGGGUAUCAAACAGGAUUAGAUACCCUGGUAGUCCACACGGUAAACGAUGAAUACUCGCUGUUUGCGAUAUACAGCAAGCGGCCAAGCGAAAGCGUUAAGUAUUCCACCUGGGGAGUACGCCGGCAACGGUGAAACUCAAAGGAAUUGACGGGGGCCCGCACAAGCGGAGGAACAUGUGGUUUAAUUCGAUGAUACGCGAGGAACCUUACCCGGGCUUAAAUUGCAGAUGAAUUACGGUGAAAGCCGUAAGCCGCAAGGCAUCUGUGAAGGUGCUGCAUGGUUGUCGUCAGCUCGUGCCGUGAGGUGUCGGCUUAAGUGCCAUAACGAGCGCAACCCUUGUUGUCAGUUACUAACAGGUUCCGCUGAGGACUCUGACAAGACUGCCAUCGUAAGAUGUGAGGAAGGUGGGGAUGACGUCAAAUCAGCACGGCCCUUACGUCCGGGGCUACACACGUGUUACAAUGGGGGGUACAGAGGGCCGCUACCACGCGAGUGGAUGCCAAUCCCAAAAACCUCUCUCAGUUCGGACUGGAGUCUGCAACCCGACUCCACGAAGCUGGAUUCGCUAGUAAUCGCGCAUCAGCCACGGCGCGGUGAAUACGUUCUCGGGCCUUGUACACACCGCCCGUCAAGCCAUGGGAGCCGGGGGUACCUGAAGUGCGUAACCGCGAGGAGCGCCCUAGGGUA
rnacentral:rRNA from 1 species